GUGCACACACACCCGGGCUCCAGCACAUGCUCCCAAUCUCUGUGCCACCUGCUUCUCAAGGACAAGGUGAAGACCCUUCUUAAAGAAAGACUGAUGGGUCCACAGGGGAAAACAGAGUUUUGUUCAGUACAGAGAGCAACAGCAACUGAUGAACUCCUCAAGUUUGAGGAGUUAUACUAGAAAUGCAGAGGUAAGUGGGAACUGGCCGGAAGACCAGAGAGCUUCAGCUUACAGUAUGAGACUAGGGGCCUCUGUGAGAAUGAGUGUCAGAUGGUUUUCAUUAAGAGGUAAAGAAUGUCAGCCAAGCGUAGCGGUGCACACCUGUAAUCCCCAGCUCAAGAAGCUGAGGCAGGAUUGCAAGUUCAAAUCCAGCCUCAGCAACUUAGCAAGACCCUAAGCAACUUAGUGAGACACUGUCUCUAAAUGAAACAUAAAAAAGGUUGGGGGUGUGGAUCCGUGGUUAAGCAACCCUGGGUUCAAUCCCUGGUACAAAAAAAAAAGUGCAGAAUGUCAGUAGGAAUGUUACAAAUCCUGGAGGAAGUAAGAAAAUAGCAUCUAAAAUAUCAGUUUGGCUAUUAAAAAUAUCUUUAUUUACAGAAAGUCCUUCCAUUCUCAAACUGUCUGCAGUGGUACACAAAAUCAUUUUUAUCAAACAUGAAUCAGCUUAAUUUGGUUGUAAAUUUCAUAUAAUUAGAGCAGCAAACUCUAUAGAUGUAAAGUGGAUCUUCUGUUUAUUGCACAUGCAAAGUUUUCCACUCAAAGCCAGGUGCAGUGGUGCACACCUAUAAUCCCAGUUACUUGUGAGGCUGAGGUAGGAGAAUCACAAGUUCAAAGCCAGCCUUAGCAAUUUAGUGAGUCACUGUCUCAAAAUAAAAAUAAUUUAAAAAUAAAAUGAGCUGGAGAGGUAACUCAGUGGUAGAGCACUUCCCUAGCCUGUUCAAAGCCCGGGUUUAAUCCCCAGUGCUGGGGGGAAAAAAAAUGUUUUCCACACAAAACUUUCAAAAGUUAGAGGUAUAAACUGGGCAUGGUGGGGCAUGCCUGGAAUCCUAGUGGCUCCGAGGCUGAGGAAGGAGGAUCAUAAGUUCAAAGCCAGCCUCAGCAACUUAGCAAGGCCCUAAGCAACUUAGAAAGACCCUAAAUCUAAAUAUAAAAAGGGACUGGGGAUGUGGCUCAGUAGUUAAGUGCCCCUGGGUUCAAUCCCUGGUACAAAAAAAAAAAAAAAAGAAGUCAGAGGUAAAAUUUAAUUCGAGAAAAGCUGACCCCUUGACUACUCAAGGCAACCAUAAUGUAUUGAAAUCUUCGCAUAAUACAGUGCCUUGAUUAUAAAUCAACUAAAGCUGGAUUGUAGGCCUCUGCUUGCAAGAGUCAGGCCAUUCCAGUCCCGUCUCCCAGUUAUUACUUAUAAGUUAAAUCAAACUGAACUAAACUGAACUGUGUUCUGUAUAUAAGCAAAGCAGACAGCCAGAGAGAAAUAUUAUAAAACUUAAAGUUACAUUUCUCCAGAAGAAGAAAAAAAAAUUAAGACAAACUUUUCCCUUUGUAGCAAAGCAAAUAUACUUUCACAUGAUAAUAGAUUUUCAUCAAGAUUUUGUUUCUAUGGGUUGUGGAUCUAAGUAUUCAUUUUAGGGAAUAUAAGUUUAAUCUUAAUCUAAUUAAUACAUUUUUCUAAUCAACGAUUUUUGCACAGCUAUUGGCCCAUCAGGAGCAUGCACACUGUCCUUCAUUGCUCCUGUCUUGCAGAAUGCAGCUUACCUUGCUUUUCCUGGUACUGAGGAUGGAUAUAAGAGAGCCAUUGCUAUUCUCCUGCUGCUGUUUUGGGAUCAGGCUCAAUUUUCUGGAGGCAGAAUGAUGAGCAUACUGCUUUAUGUCAAGAAUUGUACUGAGUAUGCAUUGAUAAAUAACAGGCAGAAUGCCUACCCUUGGGGAACCUAUGGUCUAACAUGCUCUUAGAACAACACUAAGCCAUGCCUUUGGGAGAUGCCCAUGUUUCAAUGAUCUACUAUAAUGUUCUAGAAAAAUAAUUCAGAAAAUAGUGAUGUUUUACAUAAAAGAAAUACAAUAUUACAAUCCUUAAAGUACAUCAUUAAAAAUUAAUAAAGAAGCCUAAUAAGAUAGUUGUUCAUUUUUCCAUUCCAUUUAAUUUACCAGUUAUUCAUAUUCAUUGUCAAGUAAGCGGAAACAGGUUCCAAAAAGUAACAUAAACUCAUAGAGAGCAAGCUUUCAGUUGAGAGAACUGAAUCCAUUUUGCUGUGACUAAGAAUUGACCAUCACAGUUUGAUUUCAGUGGAAAAAAUAUCACAAUGCUCCAUAAAUACCAGGUUUCUUUUUAAAGGCCAGGGUUAUAGGUGAAGAUACAUACUCUUGUUAAAAGGUGGCACCUACUGGCAGGAUAAUGUAUUGCAGCUCAGUUCUAUUAGACAUUAGUGAACAUACAAAAGGAAUCACAAUAAACAACAGUGAUAGUUUGGGAGAUUUUUGUUCCCCAACAUCCUAUUAGGUGCACUACUUAAUUUUUAGAGACUCCAAAUUCUACUAUGAAAGAUAAAACAGACAGAUCCUCUCCCUAAAUUUGGACUCAGUCAAUUAGGAUGACCAGUGAUGUUGAAUAUUAAGUAAAAGAUCCCAGAAAGAAGGGAUGGGUAUGUUAGGAUGCAGCAAUGGCAGAACCUGAAGUAGUGUCUGGGUCUAACAGCAGCAAUAGAAGGUCCUGAUCAGUUUAUUUAUGAUGGCUGGCCUUCCCUAGUUCCUGCCAAUUUUCAGCAUCUGCUUUUCCAAACAUCCUGCAAAUUCUUCACACUAUCCAAUAUUUUAGAUCUGGGAAUGUAGCUCAAUUGGAUCACUUGCCUAUCAGGCAUGAGGCCCCAGGUUUGACACCCAAGCAUCAAGGGAUUUUUAAAAAGAUAAAGAAAAAGCAACAACAAUUCAACAUUUUUUCCAAUUGUGCUAAAUCACAAAGAUACAUUAUCUCAUUUGGUCCUUCUGCCCCUGCCCCCCCCCCCCCCCAAAAAAAAAAACCCUAGGAGGAAAGAACAGAGAAGGAAAUGAGUCAGAAAGACUCACUUGCCAGAGUCACACAACUAGUGUGGGGAAAAAAAAUCCAAGUCUGAUGCUAGAACUAAUUUUCUUAAGCAUUUCACUACUUUGCAAAGCAAAAAAUGCUGAGACUUUUGAAAGCAUAAAAUUGGAAGAUAAGACUUGACCUAGGUAGGAAGUUUGUGGGAAGAUGUAGCUGGUAAGUUGCAGAAAGAAAUCCUGCAAGAAUGAUGGAAAUGAAAUACUGAGAUGAGACUGGAGGUAAUUUUAUCAUGAAAUUAAUGAAACGUAAGUGCUCUUCACUUGCAAGGGCCCUGUUCCAAAGUAUUAAAUUUUAUUUUUUUAUAAAUGCAUAUUCAUUUUCUCAAGGAAAUCCCCAAAAUGUGAUAAGAGUCAGAUUCCAUAAAACCUGAAUCAAUCCCUGGUUGAAUUCAUGAAUCUAUCAGAUUAGAGAUUCAAAAUCUAGAUCAAUAGAGACUAUAUCUAGAGACUCAAUUUCAGAUUUGGAGAUCAAGUGAGGGGUCUAUACUUAGAGAGCUAGGCUAUAGAACAUGGCUAAAAGCACAAACAACCCUGAAGGCCAUGCCCACUUUCCCAUGCUCUAUGGAAAAAGGGGGAGUUAGGAGUUAUUUCUCACCUGUCGAGACAGAGAUCAAUGCACACGGGUGGUGUUUUAAGAAUGCACAGGUCCCCACAUCCAUCUCAUCCAACAAGAGGGACAACAGAACAUCUUGCACCUUGAAGGUACAACGGCAGCAGCAAGCUGUGGGUGUGGGUCCUCCUCUCUCAGGCCCAGUCAUCAGGCCCUCAGAGAACCAGCUGGAUGUGGCCCUGACUCUAAAGAAGAUAAACAGACAAGCCUCAUCCAGGAGACUAGAAGGAUUCUACCUUGAUUUAAUAGACUGAUAUUUUGUUUAUAAUUAAUUUUGGUUGCACAACAAUAAUAUUUAUCUUGAGUGCAAAAAUUUUGGCACACACUUCUAUUUGUACCUUAGGUGAGUGUCUCACCUCUUACCCUCAUCCUGGCCCUUAUUAAGUGUAUAGAGAAUCACCAGGCAUGCAAAAGCUUAGGUUUUCCCUCCAGAUAACAAAAACUCAUCAUUUACCUACAGAGCCACACAUCAGUUAAUGCCAGGGAUGCCUUAUCAGAAAUUCCUCAUUAGCCAAUUUCAUCAAUAUGAGAACAUCAUAGAGUAUACCAACUUCAGGGUUGUUUAUGCUUUCACCAAUUAAGAUGGCUACUACGUCACCAGGCAAUAAAAUCUUAUGGGACCAUUGUUGCACAUGUGGUCCAAUCAGAAUGAGGUUAUUCAGUGAGUGAUUAUAUUUCCCACAUAGCACUUAAGUUUGUGUGUAUCAGCCAUCUAUUUUUUUUUUCAGUCUAGAAUGUUCUAAGUUUCUUUUUUUCUCCUUUGCUUGGUUAUUAUUUCUGUUGUAUAUAUGGGGUAAAAUGUGAUAUUUCAGUACAUGUAUAUAAUAUAUAUUGGUUGAAUCAGGAUAAUUAAUGAUGCCUUGCCUAAUCAUUCCUUCGUGUUUGGUGCCUUCAAGCUCUUCUCUUCUUCAUAAAAUACACAAUAAAUUAUUGUGAACUGUAGUCAUCACACUGUGCUGUAAAACACUAGCCCUUAUUAAUUUUUUUCUACAUUUUUAUUGGUGCAUUACAGUAAUGCAUAUUGAUGGGAUUUGCUGUUACAUAUUCAUACAUGCACACAAUAUAACAAUAUAAUUUGGCCAGUAUCACUCCCUAGAACUUCCCCCCUAACUCCCCACCUCCCACUUCUUGGUCCCUUUCCUCUACUGAUCUCCCUUUAAUUUUUAGGAGAUCCACCCCCACCAUUCUUGUUUUUCCUCUCUAGCUUCCACAUAUAAGAGAAAACAUACGAACUUCGGCCUCCUGAGUUGGACUUAUUUCACUUAACAUGAUAGUUUCUAGUUCCAUCCAUUUUCCUGCGAAUGACAUCAUUUCAUUUUUCAUUAUGGUGAAUAAAACUCCAUCAUGUAUAUAUACCACAUUUUCUUUAUCCAUUCAUCAUUGAUGACACCCAAGUGGGUUUCAUAGUUUGCUUAUUGUGAAUCGUGUUGCUACAAACAUGGGUAUGCAUGUAUCACUGUAGUAUGCUGACUUUAAUUCUUUAAGACAAAUACUGAGGAGUGGUAUAGCUAAGUCAUAUGGUUGUUCCAUUCUUUGUCUUUUGAGGAACCUCCGUACUGAUUUCCAUAGCGGUUGCACUAAUUUACAAUUCCACCAACAGUGUAAAAGUGUUCCUUUUUCUCCACAUUCUCUCCAGCAUUUAUUAUUAUUUGUAUUCUUAAUAUUGGUCACUCUGACUGGUAUGAGAUGAAAUCUUAGUGUACUUUUGAUUUGCUUUUCCUAAUUGCUGAUGAUGUUAAACUUUUUAUAUAUUUGUUGGCCAUUUACUUUUCUUCUUUUAAGAAGGGUCUGUUUAAUUCAUUUGCCCAUUUAUUAACUGGGUUAUUUGAUUUUUGGUGUAAAGUUUUUUGAGCUCUUUAUAUAUUCUAGAUAUUAAUCCUGUCAAAAGAGUAAUUAGCAAAGAUUUUCUCCUGUUCUGUGGGUUCUCUCUUCACAUUCCUAAUUGUUUCCUUUGCUGUAAAGAAGCUUUUUAAUUUGAUGUUGUCCCAUUUAUUAACUCUUGGCAUUAUUUCCCAAGCUUUAGGGGUUAGACCUUAUUAAUUUUAUCUAACCAUGUUUGGGCACCAUUAUUCAACCCCCACCUUUCCCAGUCUCUAGUAAUCACUAUUAUACAGUCCAACCUGAUAUUUCUUAACACCUACAUAUGAAAAACACUAUGCAGUAUUUGCCUCUUAUUUCAGUUCACAUAAUGUCCUCCAGUUUCAUUCAUUUUGCUGCAAAUCACAGGAUAUCAUCAUUUUUAUGCAUCAUCCAUCUUUACAUCUAAGUUUUAUGAACCUUUAUUGCUUUAAGUGAGAGUCAAAGAAAUCAAAUCUCGUUACAAAGUUGUAUUUUCUUGCAAAGGUCUUGGCUCUAGGGAGGAUUGGCCUACUAAGAUAGGCAAGGUUUUAGGCCAUUGGGUCUUCACCCUGGCUGCACAUUAAAUCAUUUGGGGAGCUUAUUUAUUUAUUUUAAAAUACCAGUAUCAGAGUCCUACCUCCAGAGAGUCUGACUUGGUGGCCUAAAUUGAUAGAUAUCCAGAUAGGAUUUUUUAGAGUUUUAUUGAGAUAAUUUGCAUACUGCAAAGUUCACCCAUUAGUAAAUUUAAUUAUUUUUAGUAAAGGUUCACCCCUACAAUUCAGUGCACAACCUACCCUUCACCAAAAAGUCCCCCAGAGGCAGUGUCUGGUCAGCCUUCUUUCCCACCCCAGCCACAACACCAUAUCCACUUCUAGUGUCUGCAUUUCAAGCACUGGUAUUUUUAAAAAGCUUCCCAGUGAUUCUAACAUUCAAGCACAGCUAAGAACUAUCCUUCUAGACUACAGAAAGCUAAAUUCCUUAAUCCUGCCUUACAAAAUUUAAGAAUUUUUCUGUGAGAAUUUUCCCUAUGGGGAAAUACAACCCUAAUUUCACAUCAGAAAGUCUUGGGGAAAUAGAAUAAGUUUUAUGACAAAUAGCCUGCAGUCAGCUUGACUGAAAUACCAUUAAAGUGAAAGAUGCCUCUACACAUAUCCACACCCCUGAUAAGUAUGAAAUGCCACAUUUCUAAACAGCCCAGGAUACAGAGUACUUUUGUUCUAUGGUAAAAUUAAAAGCCUGAGGUUCUGUCUUCAAAGUCAUAUUCAUUGCCUUAAAGAAGGAGUACUCGCUUCGACAACACAUACAUUAAAAUUGGAACGACACAGAAAAGAUUAACAUGGCCCUGUGCAAGGAUAACAUGCAAAUUCAUGAAGCAGUUCAUAUUUAAAAAUAAAAAAAAUGAACAAAGGAACAUUUAACUCCAACUGAUAAAUCAUCAGGAUUACAAAACUACUAUCCUUAGGUGUUCAAAAUUUCCUCAAGGGAAAGAUUCUAGAGAAAUACAAAGUAUCUUUAUUAUUAUGUUACACAAACAUGGAUGUGAUAACACACUAGUGCAGAAAAAAAAAUCCUAGAAAAAACAACCACUGACAGGUUUUCAUAUAGAGUUGAUGUCCUUCUGUCAUUUUAGGCAUGCAGGGCAAGCAAGCACUUGUAAGAGGGUGAGCCUGGGGAGCAGGAAUAAACUUGAAAGAUUCCACAGAAAUGCCAGCCCCAGAGGUCUAGAAACAUGUGAGCAAACCUCAGCCAGAGGCUGCUGGUGAGUCCGUGCUAGCACAAGCCACCUUCUGCCUUCAUUGGCCAGAAGGGCCAACCGCAGACAGCAGCAGCCAUCACCACAGUCAGUGCCUGGGAAAAGUUAUGGGGUGCAAUUGGAACAUGACCCCACCCAGACCACUCCCUAAAAUUGCAAAGCUUUAAAACAGUGCCCCAGCCAAGGAGGUGCUAUCUCAGGUUAGGAUACAAGAUCUCUAGCAAAAAAAGUUACCUGGACUCAACAGAAAAGCUUCCAAGCAAAGUAGCCCUUAACAGUAGUCAAAGAAAAUGUGGAUUUUAGCCAAGCGAAUGGACCAAAGCCAUCCAAGUUUGAAAUGCCCAACAUUUCCAAAGAUAGUACACAAAUAUUAAGCUACCUCCUCCUCUGAUUACCAAUUAAUAGCUUUUCUAAACUCUUAGUUCAUAGGAAAAUUUCAACAAUUUUGGAAAAAAAAAAUCACCUGAGAAGAUUGAAUACAUGGUACAGCCUAUCGUCUCCCACUGUCAAUCAUUAAAAAUGACAAGUAAUCAUUUUAAAUAAUUAAAUCAGAAAUAGUGAAGGUGACAAAGAAAGGCAGCCUUGGGGGGUCAGAAAUGAUGAGCCAUCCCUGAAAAACACCAUACAGAAGGAAUCAGAUUCAUGAGCCCAAAACAUACACAGGAAAGGACAGUAUAUACUAGCAUGUUUUCCAGGGGUUCCAGAUUAGACAAGGAAACUAUGUGGGGCCCUUGCUGCCAGAAGGUUCUGGGCCAACAGAGCUGGUUGGGCCAUCGCAGUAGGAGUAGCCAAGCAGACGGUCACACACACACACACGUACGUGCUCCCACACACGUCAAGCAGUAGGAACGACAAGGUACAGAGGCAACCACACCCAGCAUUUGGACCAGAAACACACGACAGUGCUUUUAAUAGUUGGCCUCACCCAGGAGGAAUGGAAGCAUCUUAGCCAGAAGACUCCACUGACUCACUGCCCAGCCCUAUAUGCUACUCCUGCCCUACCACCCGAGGUAUCGCAUUCUCAGACACACUUUCUGGGCCUCUCACAUCAGAAAUAAGUACAGUCACAAACCACCAAACAUUUAGAGAAAACUCUUACUAUGACAGAGUGACACUCAGUUACUACUAAGACAAGAGCACCCUCAAAAUAGAAGUCAGCCGGGUACAGGGGGCUGAGGUAGGAGGAUUGAGGCAGUCUCAGAAACUUGGCAAAACCCAGUUUCAACAUAAACUUUAAAAAGUGGGCUGGGGUUGUAGCUCAGAGGUAAAGUGCCCCUGGGUUAAUCCCAGUACCACGAAAGAAAGUCAUUACAGACCCAUUUAAUGGACUAACUAGCAGAAGUGACACAGACGAAGAGAUAUUUAGAAAGCUGAUAGGUGGGGUAGAGAAGUUCUCCCAGAAGGAGAAUAAAGAUAUUAAAAGCAUGAAAGAAACAGAAGGCAUAUCCAGAAGAAAGAAUGUGAGAGAAAAGAUAAAAAGAAAAUUUCCCAGAGCUAAGGAAGAACUCAUGCUCUUGGAACAAAAGGACCAACCUGGAUAUGUUAUGGUGAAAUUUUAUAAUACCUAAAAACUAAAUGCCUAAAGUGAACAAAAAUCAAAUUAACAUCUGUCUUCUUGUUGAUAAAACUAAAUUCUAAAAGCAAUGGAAGCCGGGCGUGGUUGUGCACGCCUAGAAUCCCAGCAGCUCCGGAGAAUAAGGCAGGAGAAUUGUGAGUUCAAAGUCAGCCUCAGCAACUUAGGCCUAAGCAACUUAAAGUAUAGCUUGUCUCUAAAUAAAAUAUUAAAAAGGGCUGGGGAUGUGGCUCAGUGGUUAAGAGCCUUUAGGUUCAAUCCCCCAUACCAAAAAAAAAAAAAAAAGCAAUGGAGAGGAUAAAAUAUGUGCAAAUCUUUUAUCUGAUAAAGGGUUAACAGCUAGAAUAUAUAAAGAAGUAUACUCAAAAAAAAACCCAUUCAAAUAUGAGCAAAAAAUUUGAAUAACAUUUCUCCAAAAAGCUGGAAAUGUGGCCCAGUGGCAUCAGGGGAAACACAAAACAGGAACCUGGGAAAAUCCCCUCCCUCCUCCAUGAAAGCAAUGAGAAAACUGACAAAAAAAAUAAAUGUCAAAAUCAACUUUUUCAGAACUUGGACAUUAACCAGAAAUUUGCAAUAAUCCAGGGAGUUUUACUUAAGUUGCUGAACCUCAGCAACAAUGUGAGUUCUGUGGCAUUUUACUUGCCUUAGUCCCAUCUCCCUAUCCCUAACCCAUGGUAGCCUUAAAAACAAAUAGCCCUGGGGCUGUGGCUCAGUGGUAGAGAGCUUGCCUUGCACUUGUGAGGCCCUGGGUUUGAUUCUCAGCACCACAUAAAAAUAAAUAAACAACAACAAAAAAAAUAGCCCCAUAAUUUCAACAUCCUAGCAGGUUCUGAUGAGUACAGAAUAAGGCUGGAGCUCCUCCAAAUCCAAACUCACAGGUAACUAUCCUUAGUUUACCUUUCUAGAAGAAAACCCACUUGAAAGUGUAGUUUUUCAUUUGCCCAGUGCAAAUAGACUUUUUCCAGGGGGCUCAGCGGUAGAGCACUCACCUAGCAUGUGCAAGGUGCUGGGUUCAAUCCUCAGCACCACAUAAAAAUAAAUAAAUAAAUAAAGGUAUUGUGUCCAACUACAACUAAAAAAAUAUUUUUUAAAAAAACAAUCAGUGGCGAUUCUUUAACUUCAUAACCAUCUUAAGUAGUGAUAACAGUUGGGUUGAACAAAAAAAAAUUCAAAGGAAAAAUGGGUAAUGAGAUGUCCAUAGAGAGCUUUGAAAAGCUCCAACAUACUCCUGGAAAUCUAGAAAAUCUAUGUAAGUACAGGGCUGCACACAUGCCCAGAGCUGUGUGCACACCCACAAAAGCCCUCAGAAAGCUCUGACCUUGCUGAUCCCUAAGUAAAGAAAAGCCAUGUGCCUUCAAGAACACAAACUUUACAGAAUUAGUUCAGAAAAGUCAUUAAUCAAAUAGCAACAACAGACCCAGGAAAGGGAAUAGAAUCUGAUUCCCAGUGGCCAACGUUAUAUUAUUUUACAUGUGUAGUUUUCAACAAAAAAAAAAGUUAUGAGACAUGCAAGGAAAUAAGAAACUGUACCAUGAAUGGGAAGAAAGUCAGUAGAAACACUCUUUAAGGAAGUCGAGAACCUGGCCUCAUUAGAUAAAAACUUUAAAAUCACUAUUUUAAAUAUAUUCAAAAAACUAAAGGAAAAUAUGUCUAAAGAACUAAAAGAAUUUGAAGCUGUGUGCAGUGGUGCACACCUGUAAUCCCAGUAGGUCAAAAGGCUGAGGCAUGAGGAUCGCAAGUUCCAAGCCAGCCUCAGCAAUUUAUUGAAGCCCAGAGCAUCUUAUUGAGACCCUGUCUCAAAGUAUAAAUAUAGGGGGAAAAAAAAGAAGAUCCAGGGAUGUGGCUUAGUGCUUAAGCACCCCUGGGCUCAAUCCCCAUACCAAAAAUAAUAAAUAAAUAUAAUGUAAUAUAAUAAAAUAUCAGCUAGGGAUGUGGCCCAGUGAUUAAGAGACUCUGGGUUCAAUCCCUGGUACCUACACCUCACUCCCAAAAAAAGAAACUAUGAGAAUGAUGUCUCAGCAAAAAGAAAAUAUCAAUAAGAGAGAAAUAUAUUUUUUUAAAAAAAAGGAGAACCAAAUAGGCUUGGUAUGUUGCUCAGUGGUUAAGUGCCCCUGAGUUCAAUCCCCAAUAUCAAAAGAAAGAGAGAGAGAGAGAGAGAGAGAGAGAGAGAACUGAAUUUCUGGAGUUAAAAAAUACAAUAACUGAAAUGAAAAAUUCACUAGAGGGGCUCAAAAUCAGUUUUGGGCAGGCAGAAGAAAGAAUCAAUGAACUUGAAGAUAGAUCAAAUGAGAUUAUACAAUUUGAGGGGGAAAAAAACACUGGGGAAAAGUUUCAUGACAUUAGGUUUGGCAAUGAUUUCUUGAACAUAGCACAUAAAAACACAAACAAAAGAAAAAUAAACAAGUUGGACUUCCUCUAAUUAAGUCUUUCGUGCAUCAAAAGACACUCUCAACAAACUGAAAAGGCAACCUAGGGAAUGGAGAAAAUAUGUGCAAAUCUUUUGUCUGAUAAGGGGUUAACAGCUAGAAUAUAUAAAGAAGUAUACUCAACAACAAAAACAACUCCAUUCAAAUAUGAGCAAAAGAUUUGAAUAGACAUUUCUCCAAAGAAUAUACACAGAUGGUCAAUAAGCACAUGAAAAGAUUCUCAACAUAACCAAAAAUCAGAGAAAUGCACAUUAAAACCACAAGAAGAUACCACUUUAUACCCAUUAAGAUGGCUACUAUUUUUUUAAUAACACACAGAAAAUAACAAGUAUUGGAGAGAUGUAGAAAAAUUGGAACCUUCAUACACUGGUGGUGGGAAUGUGAAAUGGUGCAGCUGCUAUGGAUAACAGUGUGUCGGGUCCUCAAUAAAUUAAACACUGAAUUAGUAUCUGAUCCAGCAAUUCUACUUCUGGGAUAUGCCCAGGAGAGCUGAAAGUAGAGAUUCGGAUAUUUGAACAUGAAUGUUCAGAGAUACAUGAUUCACAACAGAUAAAAGUUGAAAACAACCCAAAUGUCCAUAAGUAAUAUACAGUUAUUCCACUGCAUAUACUUUAAAAACUGGAUGAAAUUCUGACAAAUACCAUGACAUAGAUAAGCCUUGAAGACGUUAUACUAAGGGAAAUAAACCAGACACAAAAGAACAAAUGUUGCAUAAUGUUAACUUAUAUAAGCAGUCAAAUUCACAAAGACGGUUACCAUGGGCUUCAGGGAGUGGGCAGUGAACUGUAUCCAGCCCCUAACACAGUAAGAUGCUACUUCCUGGGGUCUGUUUACAUAUUUUUUCUCCUUUCUCUGACUUUAAAAUUUACAAAACAUUUUAGACUUACAUGCAACCCAUCCCUAUGCAGGUACACCCCCUAGGAUCUGACAGUGUUAACAUUUACUAGGAGAUUAACUGGACCAGGCAUGGGCCAAGUGCUAAGCAUUCAGCACCCUUCAAGCCUUGCUGGGGGAAGGAGGACCCUCUGUUGCAGGAAAAGUGUUGCUUCUGUACCCAGCACCUGCAAGAAUGUGCAGGAGACACAUAAUGAGUGGCUGUGCAGGCAGCAGAGAUGAGGGAUCCCUUUCCACUGGGAUGAUCAGAGACACCUCAUGGUGACAACAGAGCUGUGUUUGGAAGGACAAGAAUUACAAUAGGCAGAGCCAUAAAGGAAGAACAAAGCAGAGAGAGGAAUCUGAGCAAAACACAGAGAAGGAAACAUCUUCUGGUCUUCGAUUGGAGUACCUGGGUCGUCUGACCUCGUGGCAUCUUCUAGCCAAGACUCCAGGAGCCGCUCCGUUAGCCUGGAAGUUGAAGGGUGAGAGUUGGGAAGGCCUCCAAGGACCAUUCAGGGAUUGGAGAGGGCAAAGAAUGGAGGAUGGUUUCUUUGUUCUUUUUGCCUGGGGAUGCCUUUCAGCCUAUCCCAGUCACUAUCUCCACAACCCUGCCUUUUAGGACAGUCUUGGGGACUAGGUGGCAAGAAACAGACAGACACUUAGGGGAAUUACAUCUGAUAUGAGCAUUUACAAGCUAAAUGUAAAGCGAUCACCCCUCCUCUGAUCAUAGCCCAGAAAUCUAUGAGGUUGUUUACAAACAGGAAAAGGACACCAGGGGAGCCACCUGUCACCCUGUGAGAUCAGCAUAGGUCCCCUGAAUGUGUCCACAAGCUACAGAGGCAGUCAUCACACCUGCAAUUUUCUGAAACACUUGCUAACCGCUCAACAAUGAGCCACCUUUCUGGUUAACCAUAGGGAGGGCAAUGGGGGGAGUCAUAGGACCAGAUUCUGGUUCUAAUUCAGCCUUGGGGGAAUUUUUUUUCCCUCUGGGAAAUCCCUAAUGGCAUAACUGCUUCUGCAAUGCCCAACCCACCUGGGGAGCCACAGAGCCUUCAUCCAUGCCAGGCUGUCUGCAAAUAAGAGAAGGAGUAAUGGUUGGCACAAUCCCUUAAAAUUCUCCUACAAUAAGGGAUGAGUUACAUAAAUUUGAUCACAUUCAAACUACAGAUCACUAUGUGGUCAUUAACAAGAAUGAAAGUGCUGCCGGGCACAAGUGGCUCACACCUGUAAUCCCAGCAGCUCAGGAGGCUGAGACAGGAAGAUCGAGGGUUCAAAGCCAGCCUCAGCAAAAGCAAGGUGCUAAGCAACUCAGUGAGACCCUGUCUCUAAAUAAAGUACAAAAUAGGGCUGGGGAUGGAGUUCAGUGGCUGAGUGCUCCUGAGUUCAAUCCCUGGGACUCUCCCCCCACCCCCCAAAAAAAAGAAUGAAGGUACUCAAUUUGUACUGGCAGGAAAGAUCUCUACAAUAUGGUACUCAGUCAAAAACAAGGUAGUUGGAGAGCAGGCAUAGAGAAUGAUCCCAUAUGCUUAUAUAAAGUAUACUUGUAUGCUUACAAAUACAUGGGAAGUUUUCAAAAUGAUAUGAAAGAAGCUGUUCUAUUUCUGCAGGUAAGAGGGAGUUUCAUUUUUAUUUUAUGCCCUGUUUACUAAUUUUAUAAUUUCAAAAAAAGUUAAAAACUUUUCUAAAAUUAUAUGAUGAAUGAGGUCAAGGAAAACUAUUAUAAAUACAAUGACUCUAUGUUCACCAAAGCUAAAAAGAAAAAUCAUUUUCACACUGUGAUUUCUAUAGACUAACACACUUUUCUUCUUCUUCUUCGCCUUCCUCUCCCCCUUCUCCUCCUCCUUUUCCUCCUCCUCUUCCUCCUCCUCCUCCUCCUCCUCCAGCUCCUCCUCCUUCUCCUUUUUGCAGUACAGGGCAUAGAAACCAGGGACCCUUUACCCAUGAGCUACAUCCCUACUCCUUUUAUUUUUUUUAUUUUGAGACAGGGUCUUUCUAAGUUACCUAGACUGGCCUCUAACUUGCAAUCUUCUUGCUUCAUCCUCCUGAGGAACCGGGAUUACAGUUGUGCACCACCAUGCACAGCCUAAAACACAUUUUAUGUUAAUACUGCAUUUUUGCCAGGCUUAUUAUGGUGCUGCUUCUGUUCAGUGGUGCUUAAGCUGAAUAUAUGUACAAGAUAGAUUCACGGAGAGAAAGAAAUAUUUACAAAGGCUAACAAAUAUACAGCUAAUAGGUAGCUAAUCACUCACAUAUCAUCAAAAAUCUUUGUAGUAGACAUCUGUUGGUUUGAUUGUCUGGCAUCCCAUCCCUCUUUGUCUGAAAGCAUCAAGACUACUCUCAUCUGACUGCAUGGUUCCCUAAGGGGUUAUCUACCAUGGUGCCCCAAACCCCUGCCAGAGAGAGGGCCCACACCCUGGCUGGGCCAUCAGAGCACCCUGUAUUCCUAGCCCAAAUUAUUAGUUCAGGAAUAGGCAAAUUUCCUAAGAUAGACCAAUCUGAGUCAUCCUAAGAUUUGACAUGUGGUCCUGAAAGUUAAAUGUUGUUUCUCUUCCUCUCAGAUCUUGAAUUGUGUAGACCAUGAAGGCUUGAAUAAAGACAGGUAGCAGUUAUAAAAAUAAGAGUUGAAAAAUGGAAGGUGAAAGACAAAGCUAAAGACAUCACCUGAAUUUCUGUACUCUGUCAUGUUUGAAGCCAGAAGCACCUUCUUGGAUUUUUGCAUCUAUAUAAGUCAGUAAAUUCCCCUGGGGGGGCUUAUUCUAGUGUCUUAGUCGACUUCAUGUCACUAUAACAAAACACCUGAGGCUGGGUAAAUUAUUUUUUUAAAAAAAGAUGUUUACUUAGAUCACAGUUUUAAAAGCUGAAAGUCCAAGAUCAGGUAGUCCCAUCUGGUCCUUCUGGUGAGGACCUUCUGGCUGGGUCAUAUCAUGGCAGAUGGUAUCUCAUGACAGGAGCUCAUGAGAAAGAGAUAGCAUGACAAGAAAAUAAGCAAGAAACCAGGGAAGAGUUAAGCUCACUCUUUUAUAACAACUGUCUCUCAUGAGAAUCAACUCACUCCUCACGACCAUCAUCAAUCCCUUCCAGAGAAUCAUGACCUAAUCCUCUCCCACUCAACCUUACCUUUUAAAGGUCCCACCACCUUUCAAUGUUGUUAUAUUGGGGGCAAACUUUAAUCUUAGUUUUGACAAAGACAAACCAAGUCCAAACCAGAGCAGUAGGAAUAUCUUUUCCUUGCCACCUAAAGUGUCUUAGCUAAUUAAUAUCACCACUGUGUUAUUGAAGGUUUAACUCCUCAUUCCAUGAUUGUGAAUAUUAGCCACAGUAAAAACCCAAAACUAAAAUUUAUAUUCUCAGAAUCUGAAUAUCAUUGCUAAGUAGAAUAUCCUACUCAUUCUUCAGGAAAAUGAAUUUACUAUAUGGACUUUUCCUUGAGGUCAUACAAUUCAUCCGAAUCCAAGUCCAAAGUAAAAGUAAUCUCCUAGGCUUUUUCUUUCUUUUAAAAAAUUUUGCUGGGCUGGGGUUGUAGCUCAGCGGUACAGCGUUUGUCUUGCACGUGUGAGGAACUGAGUUCAAUCCUCAGCACCACAUAAAGAUAAAUAAAUUAAAUAAAGGUAUUAUGUGCAUCUACAACUAAAAAUACAUUUUUAAAAAAAAUUUGCUCAUAAAAAUAAAUAAAGAUUUUUUUUUUAAAAAAAAGGGGGGGGGGCUCAGUGGUAGAGUGCCUGCCUCUACCACAAGUAUGAGGCACUGGGUUCGAUCCUCAGCACCACAUAAAAAUAAAUAAAUAAAUAUAUUUUAAAAAACAUUUUUGCUAUAUUCUAUGUCAGAGCAAAAUAGAGAAAUAUCUGCACAAUCAUCUAAGGGAAGAAAAAGGGAGAUGGAUUCUGACCUGAUGAUGUCUUAAUCAAGGCACAGAGGGUACCAACACAAAACAGCCUUGAAAUUCUUCAAAUUCCCAACCAGCUGAACUUUAUCAGACUAACACUGCUCAUAACUUGUCCAACAAUAUUCUCAGUAACUGAGCGUCUGUAGAAAGUAUCUAGAAUUGAAAUGUUUUUAACUGUGCUUAUCUUCAAGAUAAGAAUCCAAAGUUCAAAUAAUGUUUGUGUAAAACAUGAUUUUGUACUGUAAAUGGAAGCCUUUAUAAAGAGAGUUCACAAUCUUACAAUUCAAUAUCAGAAAAAAACACAAAUGAAUCAAUUAAGCAUUAGGCAAAAGAUCUGAACAGACAUUUCUCCAAAGGAAACAUAAAAAUAGGCAACAGACAUAUGAAAAGGUGCCCAACAUCACUAAUCAUCAGGGAAAUGCUAACUAAAACCACUAUGAGAUAGCACUUUACACUGUUAGAAUAGCUAUCAUCAAAAAUACAAGAAACAGGGGCUGGGCUGGUAGCUCAGAGGUAGAGCGCUCACAUAGCAUGUGUGAGGCACUGGGUUCGAUCCUCAGCACCACAUAAAAAUAAAGACAUUGUAUCCACCUAAAAUUUAAAAAUUUUUUUAAAAAGACAAGAAAUAACAAAUGUCUGUGACGGUAGAGAAAAGGGAACCCUAGUACACUGAUGGCAUGGAGGAAUGUACAUUGUAGAAUCAUAUUGAAAAACAGGAUGGAGGUUUCUAAAAAGAUUAAUAAUUGAGCUACCAUAUGACCUAGAAAUCCCUUUUCUGGAUAUAUACCCAAAGGAGAUGAAACUACCAACUCAGAAAAAUACCUGCACUCCCAUGUUCAUUGCAACAUUAUUCACAAUAUUCAAGAUAUGGAAACAACAUAUCUACCAACAGAUAAAGAAAAUAUGGUGUAUAUCAUAUAGUACAACGGCAUAUUAUACAGCCUUAUAAAAGGAGAUCCUGCCAUCUUCCACAACAGGGUGGACCUGGAAAACAUAUCCUAUAAAGUCAUGUUGUAAACUUCAAAUAUACACAUUAAAAUUUAUGUUCUUAAAACUAAAAAGAAAAUUUUAGAGAGUUAAAAAUAAAAAUGAUCCAGGCAAGAAUAAUGACACACAGAGAUGGUCCUAGACACUUGGAAAGCUGAGGUAGGAGGAUCUCUUGAGCUCAAGAGCUCUAAAGCUCCAGGCCAGCUUAGGCAACAUAGUGAGAUCCCAGCUCUUUAAAAAAAAAAAAAAAGAGGAGGCGUUCAAAGAAGCUCUGUUUUCUCAGUAAUUACUUAUGCAUAUUAUUUAUUCAUACAAUUUUUAAAAUCAACAAUUAAAAAUCAUGUUUAGAUGAAUUUUAAUAUUCUGAGAAAAUUUUCAUAGUAUAUUGCUAUAUUUUUAAGUAGGUUAUAAAAUAGAAACUAUACAUAUAUACAGUCAUACAUAUAUUAACAACAAGGAUAUAUUCUGAAAAAUUUAUCAUUGUGAAUUUCAUUGUUGUAUAAACAUCAUAGAACAGACCUACACAAACCUAGAUGAUAUAACUUACUACACACCUAAGCUAUGCCAUAAUCUUGUGGGCCUACAUAUUAAGGUAUGUUGUUCACCAAAUCAUUGGUAUGCAUCAUGUGACACACACACAUGCAAACACACUCAUACACAAAAUAUGUAUGCAUAUAUGCAUAAAGAACAUGAAGCAUCUGUUCAUAAAAUUUAAAUAGCUUUUACUCUUGUGAAAAAGAAUAAACCUCACUCAAAAUUAAAUGCAGAUUAAAACUGUGACAAUUCUACUUUUUUAACAUAUACAUUGGCAAAUAUUCUAAAAGCUCUAUAAACCUAGUGUUAAUAAGAUGGGGAAUGAGAGUUUUAUUGAUGAAAAUAUGAAGUGAUACCACCUUUGGAAGAUAGUUAAGAUCUAGACCAUUUAAAAAUGCAAAUAUUUCCCACGCAUGAUGGUGCACAACUGUAAUUCCAGUGGCUUGGAUCCUGAGUCAGCCUUGGCUACUCAGCCAGGCCCUAAGCAAUUUAGUGAGAUCCUGUCUCAAAACUAAAAUUUAUGAUACUGGGUUCAACUCCCAGUACCAUAUUCUUCAAGAAGACAAUUAUACUUCUAGGAAUUUAUCCUACAGAUACAGUUGCACACAUAGUCAAAGCACAUGCACAUAGAUGCUCACCAAGAAUUGUUUCUAACAGCAAAAGUCUGAAAACAACUUCAGUAUCCUUCAAUCAGAGAUUGAUUGACUAAUUAUGGUUUCCGGGUAGAAAAUAAAACCAGGCAGCCCUUCCUAAAGAAUACUGUGGAUCCACACGUGUUGAUGUGAGGCCAACUCCAAGAUAUAUGAUGGGAUAGGGGGUGAGGGGUGGGGGUGGGGGCAAUUUUGGGAUGAGGAAGCAUUUAAAAGAGCUGACUAUACACUUGUGUUCUGGAAGAAAUCAAAGGAAGGAACACAUGAGCAGUGGCGGCCUGGGAAGAGACUUCCGUACUAUCUGAAUUUUCUAUGUGCACUUAUUUCUCCACUUUAAAAACUUAGCUUAUCUUUUAAACGAGUUUAACUGAACGUUUAAGUAAGUUGGAAUCCAUGGUACUUUGAGCCCUGGUUUUAGAAGGAAGGAGGUUCCACAUCCCACCCAAGCAAUGAGCACCGUUGGAAGAUCAAACUCUGGUGGAAGAAGCACUGCAUAAAAACUAUACUUUUUAAUAAAAUAAAUUACAAUGUCAAGUAGGAAAAAAGAAAGAAAGAAAGAGAGAAAGAAAGAAGGAAGGAAGGAAGGAAAGAGAGAGAGAGGAAGGAAGGAAGGAAGGAAGGAGGAAGGAAGGAAGGAAAGAGAGGAAGGAAGGAAAGAGAGAAAGGAAGGAAGGAAGAAGGAAGGAAGGAAGGAAGGAAGGANNNNNNNNNNNNNNNNNNNNNNNNNNNNNNNNNNNNNNNNNNNNNNNNNNNNNNNNNNNNNNNNNNNNNNNNNNNNNNNNNNNNNNNNNNNNNNNNNNNNNNNNNNNNNNNNNNNNNNNNNNNNNNNNNNNNNNNNNNNNNNNNNNNNNNNNNNNNNNNNNNNNNNNNNNNNNNNNNNNNNNNNNNNNNNNNNNNNNNNNNNNNNNNNNNNNNNNNNNNNNNNNNNNNNNNNNNNNNNNNNNNNNNNNNNNNNNNNNNNNNNNNNNNNNNNNNNNNNNNNNNNNNNNNNNNNNNNNNNNNNNNNNNNNNNNNNNNNNNNNNNNNNNNNNNNNNNNNNNNNNNNNNNNNNNNNNNNNNNNNNNNNNNNNNNNNNNNNNNNNNNNNNNNNNNNNNNNNNNNNNNNNNNNNNNNNNNNNNNNNNNNNNNNNNNNNNNNNNNNNNNNNNNNNNNNNNNNNNNNNNNNNNNNNNNNNNNNNNNNNNNNNNNNNNNNNNNNNNNNNNNNNNNNNNNNNNNNNNNNNNNNNNNNNNNNNNNNNNNNNNNNNNNNNNNNNNNNNNNNNNNNNNNNNNNNNNNNNNNNNNNNNNNNNNNNNNNNNNNNNNNNNNNNNNNNNNNNNNNNNNNNNNNNNNNNNNNNNNNNNNNNNNNNNNNNNNNNNNNNNNNNNNNNNNNNNNNNNNNNNNNNNNNNNNNNNNNNNNNNNNNNNNNNNNNNNNNNNNNNNNNNNNNNNNNNNNNNNNNNNNNNNNNNNNNNNNNNNNNNNNNNNNNNNNNNNNNNNNNNNNNNNNNNNNNNNNNNNNNNNNNNNNNNNNNNNNNNNNNNNNNNNNNNNNNNNNNNNNNNNNNNNNNNNNNNNNNNNNNNNNNNNNNNNNNNNNNNNNNNNNNNNNNNNNNNNNNNNNNNNNNNNNNNNNNNNNNNNNNNNNNNNNNNNNNNNNNNNNNNNNNNNNNNNNNNNNNNNNNNNNNNNNNNNNNNNNNNNNNNNNNNNNNNNNNNNNNNNNNNNNNNNNNNNNNNNNNNNNNNNNNNNNNNNNNNNNNNNNNNNNNNNNNNNNNNNNNNNNNNNNNNNNNNNNNNNNNNNNNNNNNNNNNNNNNNNNNNNNNNNNNNNNNNNNNNNNNNNNNNNNNNNNNNNNNNNNNNNNNNNNNNNNNNNNNNNNNNNNNNNNNNNNNNNNNNNNNNNNNNNNNNNNNNNNNNNNNNNNNNNNNNNNNNNNNNNNNNNNNNNNNNNNNNNNNNNNNNNNNNNNNNNNNNNNNNNNNNNNNNNNNNNNNNNNNNNNNNNNNNNNNNNNNNNNNNNNNNNNNNNNNNNNNNNNNNNNNNNNNNNNNNNNNNNNNNNNNNNNNNNNNNNNNNNNNNNNNNNNNUUAUUUAUAUAUAUAUAUAUAUAUAUAUAUAUAUAUGUCAGUAUCUGUGUAUAGCACUGAAUUCAUUAAUUAGGUACACAUAAAAGUUCAAAUAUGUGCAAUAAAGCAUUAAUUUUGAAAUAAUCACUUUUUUCUUGGUUUUUACAAAGCAAUUUUAUUUAAACUCUUUCCAUUUUUCAAUAUCUUAAUCCUAAGAAGCAUUUCUUAAGGUAUUUAUCACCAUCUUUUUUUUUACAUAGUUUAAAAUUUUUUCCUAAUCUAUGUAUGAAUCUGUAACUAGGCAUUUAACCCUAAACCAUAAUUAUUUAAAUUUAGGGUUUUAACAAAUUGUCCUAGAGGCUUAUAUUUGUGACAUACCCACUAACUGUAUUCCUUUUUAAUCUUUGCUCUGAUUUACACCAGCACCCAGUACUUCCAUAGGGAGCUUCUCUGGGUCUAACCUCAGAGAACAAGGGUCUGGUUUCUGGCUAGCUUAAGUGAGAGAUUUGUGACAGGAUAUCAUAGAACUUCCAGAAUUGGGCUGAGGAUGCAGCUCACUGGUAGAGUGCUUGCAUUUGCCUAUCAUGCAGGAGGAACAGGGUUCCCCAACACCAAAAAAUAAAAAAUAAAAAUAAAAAUAAACAAAAAAAUUACUUCAUAUUUGGAGUAUAUAAUUAUUCCAUGAAAAACCUUUUUUUCCCCCAAUAUUGGGGAUUGAAAGCAGGGACACUCUACCUCUGAGCUAUAUCCCCAGCCCUUAUUUUGAGAUAGAGUCUUGCUAAAUUGCUGAGGCUAGGCUCAAACUUCUGAACCUCCUGCCUCACCCUCCCAAGUCUCUGGGAUUAUAAUAGGUAUGUGCCACCAAGCCCAGCUGAAAGGCCUUCUAUAAACCAUUUUUAUGGAUAAGUUUAUCAGUUUCCUAGGGAUGCCAUAACCAAUUACUGUGAACUGGAGAGCUUAACACAACAGAAAAGUAUUCCCUCACACUUCUAGAAGCCAGAAGUCUGAAAUCAAGGUGUCAACAUUGCUAAUUUCCCUCUAGACACUCUAAGGGAGAAUCCUUCCUGGCUUUCUGGCUUCUUAUUGUCAUCAACAUUCCUUGGUUUCCUUGACUUCCUUGACUUGUGAACAUGUCAUUGCAAUAUUGACCACCAUCUUCAUGUUGCUUUUCUUCAGGGUCUGUCUUCUUUGCUUCUUUCUUAUGUCCCUCAAUCUUUCUGUUAUAUAGAUACUUGUCUUUGGAUUUAGUCCCCACUCAGAUAAUCCAGGAUGAUCUCAUCUCCAGAUCCUUAACUUAAUUACAACUGCACAGUUCCCUCCGCCCCUGACAAAUAAGGUAACAUCCACAGAUUCCAGGGAUUUUGAUGCCACCACUCAACCCACUAUGGAAAGUUCAGGAAAUGCUGUGCUAAACAAAUUCAAUAGGUUUCUUGGCUGCAAGAUUUUGCAAAGCCCUGAACUUGCUACAUUGCAUUAAGAAUCUCCAAGAGUAAGAGAAAUAUCCAAUUCAGUGAUUCCCAAAUUUUGUAUUGGGAAUUGUAUUUGCAGAAGUGAUGUUCCACAGAACAAAGAACACUCUCUGGCAUGACCUUUGGCAACACUGAUUUUGGACUCUAGCCUCCAGAACUUUGAGACAACAAAUUUCUGUUAUUUUUAAGUCAGCGACCCAGUUGGUGGUAUUUUGUUACAGCAGCUCUAGGAAACCAAAACAGGAUGCUUCAAAGAUACUCCACUUAAAAAAAAAUAAAUAAAGUGGGGCUUCUUUAAGCAUUCUCAUUAUUGACCCUGGUUAUUCACUACUGGUUUGUCUAAUUUUGAAAUCAGGAAAGUGAUCACCUAUAUGUCUUAGAAAAAAUAUAAUUAAAAAUUGUUGUGGGGGGGAGGGUGCUGAGGUUGUGGCUCUGUGGUAGAGCACUUGUCUCAUAUGUGUGAGGCACUGGGUUUGAUCCUCAGCAUCACAUAAAUAAACAAAAUAAAGGUAUUGUGCCCAUCUACAACUGAAAAAAAAUUGUUGCCGUGCAUGGUGGCAUCCACCUGCUAUCCCAGUAGCCCUGGAGGCUGAGGCAGGAGGAUCACAGGUUCAAAGCUAGCCUCAGCAACUUAGCAAGGCUGUAAGCAACCUAACAAGACCCUGUCUAAAAAUAAAAAUAAAAAAGGGUAGGGAUGUGGCUCAGUGGUUGAGAGCCCUUGGGGGUCUAAUCCCUGGUACCAAAAAAAAAAAAAAAAGAAAAAAGAAAAAAAAUUUGUUCUAAGUUGAUUUUAUUUUGGGGCUGGGGAUGUGGCUCAAGUGUGCGGCCCGGGUUCGAUCUCAGCACCACAUACAAACAAAGAUGUUGUGUCCGCCGAAAACUAAAAAAAAAUAAAUAUUAAAAAAUUCUAAAAAAAAAAUAAGAUGAUUUUAUUUUAAUGUGAAAGUACUGUCAUAGCUAUGUACUAGCACCAGGUCAUGGCUUAUAAAUGUCAUUCUCUUAAGGAUCCUUGGACAAAAUCCUAACUCCAUGUCUGGAAAAAAGAAAAUAAAAGUGAGCCUCAGGUGUUUUGUUGGGCCAAAAAGCAAAGAAAUGCUCAAAAAUCAACCAAGACAUGUCAAAAUGUACAAGAGGCAGAUUGAAAUGUUGCAGGCUCUGGCUACCCAAACCUGGAACAAUGGGAGAGCAAACAGGAUAAUAGAAUAAUGAUGGUAAUGCACUAUAUCACAAUGAAUUGUCUAAAAGAAAAUCUAUGGUCCAUGGUGAUAUUCAAAGAGAAAAGGAGACCAAACAUAUCUUCUAUAUCCUUUCUGGAUAUAAAAAGGAUGAAAGGAUUAGAAAAUGAGCAUUUUUGCAACUAGUGAUGUAAUUAUCAAAUUCAGGCAAUUGAUGCCAAAACUAUGGGGUGGGGGGGUGUUAUAUAUUCAUAUAGACCCAAAGUCUCACUACACAGAGGAUGUGCUAAUUAUAAAAGGAGAAGUGGAAGGAUAGGGUGGACUCUUCAGAUGCACGGUCAUGUUUAGCAGCACAUUACCUGCCUCCUAGCAUAGUACAAAAAGGAGUACAAUCUCAUAUCUAGCAUUUUUUUGCCAAAAAUGUCUCCCUAAUAUAAUCAUAACAAAACUAUCACACAAAUGGAAAACAUGACCCAUUCUACAAAACAUCUGGCCUGAUCUCUUAAAAAAAAAAGCCAGUGUCAUGAAAGAAAAACAAAAAAGGCAGAGCAAUGAUUCUAUAUUAAAUGAGACAAAAAGACAUAACAACCAAAUAUAAUACAUGAAUUUUAUUUGAUCUCAGACUGAAAAAAAAAUGUAUAAAACGACAUUUAGGGAAAUUAAACCCAGAUUAUAUAUCAGGAUUAUUGUUAAUUAUCAUAGGUGUGAUCAUGCUAUCACAGUGAUUUGGGGGAAUGUUAUUAUUCUCAAAAAUGCAUGCUAAAGAAUCACAAUAUCAGCCGGGUAUAGUGGUGCAUGCCUGUAAUCCCAGCGGCUCAGGAGGCUGAGACAAGAGGAUCAAAGUUCAAAGCCAACCUCAGCAACUUAGUGAGGCUAUAAGCAACUCAGUGGUUGAGUGCCCCUGAGUUCAAUCCCCGGUACCAAAAAAAAAAAAAAAAUCACAAUAUCUACAAUUUUCAAAUAUUAACAACUGAUAAACCUAGGUGAAAGAUAUUACUGAUAGCUUGGAUUAAGUGUCCCCAAAAGUUCACAUGGUAAAAGACUUGCUCCCCAAGGUGGUGCUGUUGGGAGGCAGUGGAGCUGUUGGGAGGCGGGGCCCAGUGGGAGGUCUUUAGUACCAUUGGGUGUGAGCCCUCUAAGGGGAUGGUGGGACCCUGGCCUCUUCCUCUUCCUCUCUCUUUUGCAUUCCAGCCAUGAGAUAAGCAGAUUUACUCCACCAAGUUCUUCUAUCACAACAUGCUUCCUCACCACAGGCCAAAAACAACAGGCCCAAUCAGUCAUAGCCUGGAAACUCCAAAACUGUGAGCCAAAAUAACCUUUUUCUCUUUAUAAGUUGAUUGUUUGGAGUAUUUGUUACAGUGAUGGAAUGCUGACUAACACAUUUAUUUAUUUGUUAAUAUAGGUGUUAAUUAUUCUUUCAACUUUCCUGCAGGUUUGAAAUUUUUCAACUAAAACAUAGUAGGUGGAGACUUGAAUGUAGCCUCAACAUUCUUUUUUCUUCAUGAUAAAGCAUUCCUGUGUCUUUUUAUAUUAGUUUUUUCUUUCCAAAGGCCUCCACCCUGACUGUCGUGAAGUACUUGAAGCUGAAAACACACCUGUUCCAAGAAAAGAACUGUUUCCACUGCCCAGAAGUGUGCAGGGCUUCUCCCCACAGCUGUGUCACUGCAGCACUUCCUGCCUCAUCACCUCACAUGUGUGUCAUUAUAUCAUGGGUGUGCUCAGCUUGAGAAAUCUGCCACUGUCUCUUUGUAACUUAAAGAUGAAUCAUUCUCCCAACUUUCUAGAGAAAAAGAUAAUGCCAUGUGACUCUCUUGCCGCUGUGCAGUGAGACGGGCCCAUGCCCAGAGUCCUCUGCUCAGGUCAUUGGCAAAUUCCAGUAGAGGCUUCUGAAAUCUAUAGCCAGUGCCAUGUGGGUUGAGAAUAUUGCUGGACUAAAAAUUGGGAAUAUCUUUUGGAAAAUAACUUCACCUCUCAGGGCUUCAGCCUCUUUGUUGUAAAGGGAGUGACUAGAAUGAAAAAAGUUCUUUUGGGUUCCAACAGUUUAUCAUUGGAGUCCCUGCUUCCUUGGACAUAUGGAUCACUGUAACCCAAAAGGCAAAGACAGGGGUAAAUCCUUCUCCUUUACACCAGUCCUCAAACUUUUGGAUGCCUAGACAGUAAAAUAGCCCCUCAGCUCUUCCUCUUGUCACAGAAAUAUUUUUGUAACACCUAGCUCACCUCCAUACCUGAUCUAAGCUCAUCUUCCUUCUGAAGACAAAUGUGUCCACUGGCAACUCAGGAAACCAUGGAAACAAAAUUAAUUCCAUACGCUUUCAGCACACUAUGCAAAAAGAGCAUCAAAGGAGGAUCCUCCACGUGGAAUAUGGUUAUCUGCUUCCUAAAUUCUCUCAGGUUGAGCACUGCUAUUAUAGGAUCCCUUGAGAAAAUUAGAUAAGGCAAAAGGAUAGGAAAGAUUGGAAGACUCAGGAGCUGAGACAGGAGGAUUGCAAGUUCAAAGGCAGCCUCAGCAAUGGCGAGGCCCUAAGCAACUCAGUGAGACCCUGUCUCUAAAUAAAAUAUAAAAUAGGUCUGGGGAUGUGGCUCAGUGGUUGAGUGCCCCUGAGUUCAACCCCUGUUACCAAAAAAAAAAAAAAAAAAAGAUUGGAAGACAUUGUAGAGGAAAUCAGUAAACUCUAUCUAGGAUGUGACCAAGCUGGAAAAAAGAAAUGAAAAGUAUAAGAAGUCAGUAAUAAACGGAAAAAAAAAAGUGCUAGAAAACAGCAUUCUGGAGACAGGAUAUGUUUUUAAGUUGUGAUCCACACCUUUAGCUAUAAUGGCAUUUUCUAUCCUUCUCACUUUUACAAUACAUAAUGAUGCAAAAAUAUCUAAAAUUCAUUCUUCCCUAGAUAACCAUUCACAUAAAGCAGUGGACUGUGCAUUCUUAUAUUAGCUAGUAAAGUUUAUAUUUGGCCAGUAUGAACCCAGAAGUGAGCUGCCUGGGACAUAGGCUGAAGCAAGCCCUCCUGUUCUGUGCAUGACAGAUGCAAGAACAAAGUAAAAAGAAAAGGAAAAAAAAAAGAAAAGAUGUCCAUUAAAGAAAAGUACACAGGGGCUGCUUACUUCCUCACUGAGAGCUGAGGUGAUCCACAGUGCCCCUCUUUGCAUGCUUUCUUAUGAGUAAAUUCGAUUGACCACUCAUGACUGAUUCCACAAGUUUGCUAGUCAAUGUAUUUGUAGUUAAAAAAAAAAAGUGUGGGUACCUCGGACAGCUAAAUCUGGGUCAGUCAGGGUGAUCACCGAAUCAAAGAAAAAGGAUGUUUCUCUCAGACACUUGUUGUGAGCUGUAUUUAUUUAAGUACCUUGUCUAUGCUUUUGUCAUUCACCUCUUCCAUCCAAAUAUCAAUUCCAGAAACGUGGGGACCACAUCUGUAGUUUUCACUAUUGAAUCCCAGCCCAUAGCUCAAGAACAAAUGAAAUAAGUAGAAUGAAAGACAAUAAAAAAUAUUUAUAUAUUUGAGUCAGAAAAAAAUAAAAAGUGUGGUAUGACUGUUCAUUCAUUCACAUCUUUCUUUAUAACUGUCAGAAUUUUUUUUUAAGUUUUCUUUACACAGAUCCAAUAGCACAUUACUCAUUAAGGCUAUUCCUGGGUGUUUUAUUUAAAGAAUGCAAUUUCUACCCCCCUCCACUCCCCCAUCAGUGUAGCAUGAGAGAAAGUUUUUUACUUAAAUAUAUCGUCCUGCUUGCAGCCAACAGCCCAGACUUUCAUUACAUCCAAUAGCUGGAGUUUUAUUUUGCUUGAUUCUCUUAUUAGGCUAGGUAUGAAAUCAUAUCAUCUGCAAAGAAUACAAUUUUGUCUUCUCCUUUCCAGUGUUCUAAAUCUUAUUUCUGUUUCGUCUUUAAUUGCACUGACUACACGCUGGGAAAGACCUCAAGUGAUAAUGGUAAUGGUGGGGAUUCUACCUUCCAUUCAUGAUUCUAAGGAGAAGGCCUCUGGUGUUUCCUCAUUCUGAUUUUCACAACUCAAGCCCAGCAGGCUCUCAUGUGUUCAUUUCCUUUCACUUAACUCUUAUUACAAACCACUUAAAAUAAUAUAAUAAUGUCUUAAUAACACCAGGGUGGUUAGCUCUCAGAGAAGCUUUUUUUCCAACUCUAAACCACAAUGUGAGAGCAUUCUUUUGCCUCUGUUAAACACACACACACACACACACACACACACCAGAUGUAGCACGCCUACCUUGCCUUUGAUUUGGGACUGUGGAGUGUGGUGGAGCCAAGCUGAUGCCUCGAGGGCUCCAGCACAUCCUCGGGCCAGGCCAGUGCCUGCCACGCUGAGAACAUCAGGAGCACACUUGGCAUAACAAGCACAUUCCCACAGCGAGUCCUGGCAGUGCUGUAUGGGUAACAACUGUGUUUGUCCUAACCAGAACAAAAAGUGAACAGAGCAUUGAAAUGAUAUAAAAAUAAUGACUUCUGCUCCUGUCCCUGACAAUGAGUCUGGUGAAUUCCAGCUCUUUUCCAUUUCCCACCCACCCCCGUGCUUGAGCAAAUUCUACUGAUUCAAAGCUGACUGAGACUGUCCUUCUAGGGCCUUAGGCCUCUCCACCUCCCGCACCACCUCUCCUCCUUUUCAACACCAAGCACUUCCACUAGCUGCCUCCAGAUGGUAAAGACCAUGGUCACAAACACAGGGGACUAGAUCCUCAUGCACAGUGGCACCGGGACCUGGGGCACUGCCUGGGAAAAGAGGUCUUCUGUAGAGAGCCACAUCCUCCCCAGUCCACCAUCCAACAACCAGGGAGGAAGACAGGGGUCAUUUCCACUGUCCUGGGGACCCAAGAUGACUCGAAAGAUGGGAGUGGGGAGACCUGGGAGGCAAAUGACAACAGCCUUUGGCACUGGCUCUACAGCCACCACCUGCAAGUCAUGUUCAGAUAGCUAAGAACGCUCCCACCACCUUCUUAUCCCCCUUUGUGACUUCAGGAACCUUGGUGUGAUGGGAACAAAGAUGGGCAGACUGUGUCCAUGUGUCCAUGUUGGUGCUCAAGGGCUGCAGGUAGAACAGAGGCUGUCCCUGUUUGUCCCCUUUCCUCCCUAUUCCUCACCCCUUGAAGAAAGUCUAGACUAAGCUGUAUUCCAGCACCAACCCUGACCCCAACCAUCCUAACAUUUGUCCCCAAAACUGUUUCCUUCCCCAGUUAGUUUCACUGUAGCCCCAGCCCUGCCUGGUCUGGUGUUUACCCACCCCUAACUAGGUAGUUUGGCAACUCAAACCCUGACAUUAUACUAAGAAUUAAUCAUUGCAGCUGACACUUAUUCAUAAAAACUGUAAAUACUUGCAUUAUAAAUAUUUUAAUCAAUUUAUGUAAUCUUUAUGGUAAUCCUCUAAGGUAGGUGCUAUUAUCAUUCCCAUGUUAUAGAUGAGAAAACUGAGAUGCCAGAGAUCAGAUGAUUUGUCCAAGGUCACACUGUUUGUGAACAAGAGAGCUGAGAUCUAAACCCAAGAUCUGCACUCCCAAUCCCUGUGCUUGUAACAACCCUAAAAGUUUUAACCCUCCAUUCUCAAUCCAGGCUCAGCCCCACUUCCAGGCCCUUCAGCUCUGAGGGCAGAGCUCCUUCAUAGUCCAGCUGAGCCCCACAACCCUGCACCCAAAGGCAGAGAGCAAUCUGCCCAUAUGACUACUCAGAGGCUCUCCUAACAUCCCUUUACCCUCCCACAGACAACAGAACCUGAGUCAAUGAGAAGUCAACACCAAGCAGGCCAAAGUGAUGGAUGUCCUGGGAGCCCUGGCAUCAAAGCAUCCCAGCUGCUGAUUAAAAUGAAUUCCAGACACUCGGGACUGUGCCAUGAUACCCCAGGCCCAUCUUCCAGGGAUGUGGAGGAUGCUGCCUCAUCAAAAUCAUUUCUGAUCUGAAAACUUCUGUGAAAUCCAAGGAGUAGGCAGUGGGAAAAAAAAGGAAGCACAGCAGGCCUGAGGGUAUGCAAGUCCACAGAGAAGAAUUGGGCAGAAGUUUUACUUCCCCUGCAAGAAAUAGUGGAUGUAGCUCAGGAGCUGAGCACCUGCCUAGCAUGCGCAAGACCCUGGGUUCCAUCCCCAAACUAGAAGGCAGGCAGGCAGAGGAAAGAAAGAGAGAAGAGGAGCAGCAGGAGUGGAGAGAACCUUGCAUUCCCAUUCUGGCAGAAACUCUGACCUCUCAGAGAUGGUGCCAUCAGCUCCAGACUACUGUUCCAAAAUUUUCUGGACCAAACUCUGUUCUUCCACUUUGUGUGGAUUUUCUAAUCUUAUUCUCUAACCAACUUGAUAUAACUCUGAUCUCCUGCCGAAGUCCCACAUUCUACUCUCAUGCUUCUAGCUCCUUCCCCAGCACUUCCCAAAACAUUCAUCAAUGUAAAUUGAUAUGGAUGACCAGAUUACAAUUUGGUUAAGAACUUAUAGGAACCAAGAUAACUGAUUUAAUUCUUACAUUCAUAAGCUCAUUUAGUUCUUUGAGGUAGGUAGCAUGCCCACUUUAUAGACAGACAAGCAAAAUCCUAAAUGAAAUGCCUCAGGAAAAACAAUUGACACAAAUGCUUUAAGAGGGUCAGAAUAAGAUAAGAGUUGCACAUUGCUCUUAUUGAUACAAAGAUAAUAUGUUUUUCCAUGGUUGUGAUGGCACACACCUAUAAUCCCAGCUGCUCCGGAGGCUGAGGCUGGAGGAUUGCAGGUUAAAGGCAAGCCUCAGCAAUUUAGUGAGGCCCUAAGCAACUUAACAAGACUCUGUCUCAAA
rnacentral:lncRNA from 1 species